GAACUCGACGAGUAGGGCGGGACACGUGUUAUCCUGUCUGAAUAUGGGGGGACCAUCCUCCAAGGCUAAAUACUCCUGAUUGACCGAUAGUGAACCAGUACCGUGAGGGAAAGGCGAAAAGAACCCCGGCGAGGGGAGUGAAAAAGAACCUGAAACCGUGUACGUACAAGCAGUAGGAGCCUCUUUAUGGGGUGACUGCGUACCUUUUGUAUAAUGGGUCAGCGACUUAUAUUCUGUAGCAAGGUUAACCGUAUAGGGGAGCCGUAGGGAAACCGAGUCUUAACUGGGCGAAUGAGUUGCAGGGUAUAGACCCGAAACCCGGUGAUCUAUCCAUGGGCAGGUUGAAGGUUGGGUAACACUAACUGGAGGACCGAACCGACUAAUGUUGAAAAAUUAGCGGAUGACUUGUGGAUGGGGGUGAAAGGCCAAUCAAACCGGGAGAUAGCUGGUUCUCCCCGAAAGCUAUUUAGGUAGCGCCUCGUGAACUCAUCUUCGGGGGUAGAGCACUGUUUCGACUAGGGGGUCAUCCCGACUUACCAACUCGAUGCAAACUGCGAAUACCGAAGAAUGUUAUCACGGGAGACACACGGCGGGUGCUAACGUCCGUCGUGAAGAGGGAAACAACCCAGACCGCCAGCUAAGGUCCCAAAGUCAUGGUUAAGUGGGAAACGAAGUGGGAAGGCUCAGACAGCCAGGAUGUUGGCUUAGAAGCAGCCAUCAUUUAAAGAAAGCGUAAUAGCUCACUGGUCGAGUCGGCCCGCGCGGAAGAUGUAACGGGGCUAAACCAUGCACCGAAGCUGCGGCAGCGACACAAUGUGUUGUUGGGUAGGGGAGCGUUCUGUAAGCCUGCGAAGGUGUACUGUGAGGUAUGCUGGAGG
rnacentral:rRNA from 1 species